CUGGGGAAAGAGGACAUCUUUGCACGUGUCUGGCAUUGUUCAUGACAACAGGGCAACCGAAAUAAAGCAAGAGUUUCAGGGAGUAGCAUUAGGAUGCAGCCCUCCCGCUGUGCACACCAGUUUCCUGCUCAGCACAGCUGCCUGCUCAGCUGGGGGUUGGAAAUCAGCACUGUGAGAAAAGACAGAAAUGACCGUGAUGCGUGCCUCUCUCUAUGAGGAAAAGUUGAGAAUAUCAUUAUGAGUAAGGUAAUCCAAACCCAAAAGGAGAUGCAUGUACUUCCUGUAGAUGGGCAGGACUCCCACUGGAAGAAUAAGAAUAGCAACCCAUCCACAAACCUUUGGACCCAAAAUGUGUCCUGCAUACAAGAUGUGUAGAAACAAUGAUAGAACAAAGACUGAGGGUAUGGCCAACCAGUGAUUGCCCCAAAUCAAGACCCAGCCCAUGGGUAAGAACCAAUUAAUAAUACUCUGUUUUGUUUGCAGACAGGAACCUAGCAUAACUGUCCUAUGAGAAGCUCCACCCAGCAGCCAAUGGGAGGAGAUGCAGUAACUCACAUUAGAUGGAGCUGGGAGAAAGAUUGAGGGACCCGAAGAGGACAGGGACUCUGCAGGAACAUCAACAAAUUCAACUAACCUGGACCCUUGGAGGCUCCCAGAGACUAAAUCACCAACCAAAGAACAAGCAUGGGCUGGACCUAGGAUCUCUGCACAGACGUAGCAGAUGAGCAGCUUGGUCUUCAUCCUGGUCUCCCAAGAGCUGGAGCAGGGGUUGUCCCUGAGCCUGCUGCCUUCUGACCUGCCUGUGGAACCUGUGCUCAUAAUGGAUCCCCUUGUCUGGCCUCAGUGGGAGAGGAUGUGCUUAUUACCACAGUGAUGUGAGGUGUAAAGGGGCUAUUAACAACAAC
rnacentral:lncRNA from 1 species